rnacentral:rRNA from 1 species
UACGUAGGUGGCAAGCGUUGUCCGGAUUUACUGGGCGUAAAGAGCGCGCAGGCGGUCGUUCAAGUCGCGUGUGAAAGCCUCCGGCUCAACUGGGGAGGGUCACGCGAUACUGAUCGACUCGAAGGCAGGAGAGGGUAGUGGAAUUCCCGGUGUAGUGGUGAAAUGCGUAGAUAUCGGGAGGAACACCAGUGGCGAAGGCGACUACCUGGCCUGUUCUUGACGCUGAGGCGCGAAAGCUAGGGGAGCAAACGGG